UCGAGAAUCUUCCGCAAUGGGCGAAAGCCUGACGGAGCGACACCGCGUGCAGGACGAAGGCCUUCGGGUUGUAAACUGCUGUCACGCUCUAGGAAUGCCAUGCUGUUAAUAGCGGCAUGGUUGACCAAGGCGAGAGGAAGUGGCGGCUAACUCUGUGCCAGCAGCCGCGGUAAGACAGAGGCCACGAACGUUGUUCGGAAUUACUGGGCAUAAAGCGCGCGUAGGCGGCUGGGUCCGUCCGAUGUGAAAGCCCCCGGCUCAACCGGGGAAGUGCAUCGGAUACAGCCCGGCUUGAGGACGGUUGGGGUGAGUGGAACUCCUGGUGGAGCGGUGAAAUGCGUAGAUAUCAGGAGGAACACCGGUGGCGAAAGCGGCUCACUGGACCGUUACUGACGCUGAGGUGCGAAAGCUAGGGGAGCAAACGGGAUUAGAUACCCAAGUAGUCCCUGAGCGGGCUGGCAAGGCGC
rnacentral:rRNA from 1 species